GUAGACUGGUUUGGAGUGGGCCUAAAUGACAUACCAAGUAGACACUAGCAGUGCGCCACUGCUCAUUGUAGGAAUUGGGCAUCGCAUUUUGGAGAUGGUUGCUAUCUUGUGGGAGAGAAAAGAUAAUAAAAUACAAGCUUAACAUUUACUAUCCCUAUCUUUUACAUUUUUUGUUAUUUGUUGUACUAUUGAAUUCAUUAGCCAGGAAGUACAAUGGCAUAAACACUACUUGAAGAGCCUUUACCAUGCCAUCCAUUAUUUCAGGUUCACUAAGAGGUUCAUCCACCUGAAUACAAUAUCGUACUUGUUCCCAAGCUUUUGAUGUACUUUAUUACAAUGCUUUAUGCCUAGAAAAUUUACAAAAGCAAAAAGUUAGCAAUAUAUCCAACCAACAAAAGUUUCAACGAUUCACAAUAGAUUGAAGGACUUAUUUUACAAAUUCGACAUGAUUCUGAUGUCAAUAUCACAUCCAUGCCAAAUCUUAUAUAGCAUUCUACAAUCUUAUUAUCAUUCAUCGCCACAACUAUAUCAAUAAAUCAGCACCCAAUUAGAAACCACAGAAACCAAAAACUUCAACAUAAUUCUGUUGAUAUCUUUUGAUUUAUAAAUAAACAUAAAUAGAGCAAAUGAAGUGGACCUCUGCCAACUUCAUCCAAUGAUGAUGCCAUUUUUGCCCUUUCCCAUGAUCUCUGUAAUUGAGGAUUGAAAUGUAAAUAAUCAUAUAUCCAUAACAUUGUAGUCUCCACUAUUUAAAUAUCCAUUUCAUUUUUCCAAUUAUCCUUUUAGUGGACAUGAAAAUUACACACAAUUAUAUCUGACGUAAAACAAAUUGUUUGAUAAACCAAUAAGGACAGAUAAAUUCUAUGUAUAACAACAAAAAUGCAAAUGAAUAAAAUUUAUGUGAACAUGUGAUCCAAAACCUUAGGCCUUCAUGAAGUGGACACAUUUAUUUAUUUAAAUUUGAUAUUCAAAAGCCCCAUGAAUUCAUUUUAUCAUCAGCAUAUCACUUGCAAAAGUUUCAUGAAUUGGUGGCAGCAAGUAUGAACCCAGGUCUUUGUCCUAUCUCUAUCACCAUGUUAUCUAUUUCAUCUGAAUGAUCAAUGUGUAAGCAGACUACAUUCACAGUAGUGCAAUUAAAAGCCUGAAUGAUACUACAAAUUUGACAGAGAUAGCAAAGCAAAAAUAAUGUCAAUUGAGAUAUAAAUGAAGACGGACAUAAUAAAAAUACCUUGCACUGCCAUAUAUAGCAGGUUCCAACUUAAAGAGCUUUCUAAGAUUUCAAGAACCAUAAGGUAAAUCAACCACCCAACUGCACAAGUAUUAAUAAGAGCUUCUUGUAAACAUAGAUAGUAAAAUAAUAUUUAACUCUGUCAACAACACAUUACUACCUUUAAUAUCUCUAUGUACGUUGAAAAUUGAGUGCAAGUAUGAUAAACCCUGCAUUAGAUAAUAUAGAUAUAGUUUCAGCAAAAUAUAAGAAACAGCCAGAAAGAAAUAUAUCAGAGAUGUCCAUAUUGUCAAUUUUGGCAUGUCCCAACGUUAAUGACAAUUUUUUCUUAAUAUUUUUUUCUCAAAUUACCCACUGAUUCAGCUUAUUUUAUACAUCAUGGGAACAGGUAUUCUCACCUUUUGCAUUUCAGUAAAAGAAGAUUAGUAUGGAAAAGUAUGUGGUAAUUAUCAAACUCUAAAAUAAAACAUUCGUGCCAAGUCAUGAUAUAUUUUAACCUUGGAUGGUCAAGCAUUAUCUCAUGGACAAAAUCAUUCCCUAUUACCCAAUAACAAUCCCAGCAUUUUUAAGGACACAUUUAUACAAAUCUGUAGUAAAGAUAAAAAAGUUCGAUUUUGAAAUAUAACUAACCAAAAUGAUGGUACCUUCAGUGCCUCUCUGCAGAUAUAUGCUAUUUUACACUCCUCUAGAGGCUAAGGCCUUUCAUCAAGUCAGCAACACUCCUGCCCCCAAAAUAAUCCAUUACAAUAUGCCAACAAAUACAAAAUUCUCAGAUAUUUAAAUUCAUGUGAAUAACUAACAGUUGUCAUCUGAUUUAGAAACCAAACGGAGGGGGCACACAGCAUCAUGGUCUCGGUACCAUCCCAAAAAGAUAAAAAAUUAUUAUAUAAUUGAAGGCCGAUGAUCUUCUUCAUACCCAAUGCUAUUCUUCUCCUUGGUAGCUACCUAGAUAGCAAACAAUGUUAGGGUGACUACAUUGCUGCAACAUCUCAAUUUCACCACGAAUUUCUUCAUAACCAUCCUAUAAUUAUGAGAUUUCAAACUUCAUAUUCCAUCCACUAAACUUAUGUAGUAUUAUUAUAUGCAAUUAAAAAAAAGGAUUAUAAUUAGGUCCCCUUCAGCUAAUGAUAUCACUUUGAUAGCAACCAAUUCUGAAGUCCUUGUAUCUCGAGCUAUGUAGCAACAAAUUCUGAAGUCCUAAUAAAGAGAAUUCAUGGAAAAAAAGAAAUACUAAAAUUGAUUAUACUGAAAACUAAAAUAUGCCUCAUAUCAUCACCUAAGAAUCCCAAAAACAAACAAGUCAACAAAUACACCAGAAAAAUCAGUCUUCCAAAUACCAUUAACGAAACUAUCCUACGUAUUUGCUGUUUCCGCUUAAUACCAACAUCUAGGAGUCAUCGAAUUUAAAGAAAAGAAUAAAUAAAUUAACUAAGGAGCCGAAAUCGUACAGUAACGGUGACAGUUUCUUUAGCUUUACUUGGAGGGGUAGUAGCGGAUGCCGUGCUGGGGUUGUAAAACGACGUCGUGGAAGAAAUCGUAGAUGAAUGAGUGGUGGGCCGAUCGUGGUGUUUAGGUGGCACAGUAGAUGAAGAUGUCGGCGGUGGAAGUGUUUUUGGGAACGGAAAUGGGAGAUUGCAGACGGAAGUUCAAGGGAUUUUAUGCUUUUGUUCGUUGUAAUGUAGAAGAAAGAGAAAUAGAGCCGAUGGUGGUGUUUAGGUGGCACGGCCGACGAAGACGACGGUGUGUUUUUGGGGAACGGAAAGGGGAGAUUGCAGCCCAAAAGUUCAAGGUUUUUUUCCUUUUCUUUUUUGCUGCAGAGAAGAAAGGCCCUGCUUUUGGAGGAAAUACAUAAAAAUCGCUCUUCCACUCUAGUAAAAAUUGAUAUUGGC
rnacentral:lncRNA from 1 species